CCAUAUGUCCUUAUUAAAGGCAUCAUAUCUCAUUUGAUCUUAGAAGCUAAAUACAAUUAGUUAUGGUUAGUACUUGGAUGGGAGACUGCCAAUGAAUACCAGGUGCUGUAGGGU
rnacentral:rRNA from 1 species